GCCUCGCGACCCCAGCUGCCUACCGUACUGCGGACUAACGUUAAUGCAACCGGUGGGGGUGACCGGAUGGCAAAACCGGAUCGGAGCUGUAAUACAGUAUCCAAUGGAAAUUCGGGGAAGAGGAAAGAGAGGGAUUUUGUUGUUUGCACUAAAGAUGAGGUCCAGAGGUGUGGCUGAGGACAGAGGCAGCAGGACCAGCAGCAACAACAGUGACAGCUUCAUCUGGAGAUAAAUCACAGAACAUCAUCAAAAAACUGUUCAGUUGUUUUUUUAAGAUUAAGGAGAUUGUUCAUAAAGAGAUUUUGGAAAUACAGAAUUUAAUACAGACUAAGCAUUUGAAUCACAAUUACUAUAUGAUAAUGAU